rnacentral:lncRNA from 1 species
AAGCCACCUGCCAACUCUGCAUCCUGCCUCCAACAAGCUGGAGGAACUUAGCUCUACAGAAGCCGUGUUUCUGGGAGAAGGCUGGGCCCAGCUUCCUACAUGGGUGUUUGGUGAGUGUGAGGGUCUGCUCAGAGACGGGAGGUGGGGUAGAGGAAGGAGUGGAGGUGGAGCCAGGCUCCUAAGUGUGGCUCUAGCAGGCACGAAUGUGAGACUUGGCAAAGGAUCACCCUGAAGCUGUCAGCUGACAUCCGGCCAGGGACACUGAUUGUGGCCAAGGACAGGGCUGAACGAGCAACAUGAGUUCAUUAUGGGCUUCUCGCUGUUACUCGGGGUGGCUGUGUCAGCCCAUCUUGCAGCUGAGGCCAAGAGGCAGAGGGAGGAGCAGCUCUCGCUGGGGCAGAGUUGAGAAACAGGCACGGAGCAGCAGCCCAGAGCUCAGUGCUACAGAACUGGCAGUGACCACGGGUGUGCUCCUCCUCCUGGGAAGCCCUGGGCAGGAGUGGGGGAGACCCAGCCUCCGAGAGGCCGAGACUGGGGGGUCCAGGGCCUGGAACAGGAACCAGAGACUGGACACCAAGCUGGCAGGAACCGGGGAGCUGGACUUGGUCCCUGUCAGCCCCUGGCCUCCCUCGGCUUCCCCUGACUGUCUAGUGACCUUCUCUGUGCUGGGAGGACAGAGGGAGAUUCAGAGCUGGCCCAGGAGACCGGCUGGUGUCGCGUGGCAUUGAGAGGGAGCGGAACAAGCUGCCCUCCCUCUCCGGAAAAUGACCCUGCUGAUCCUGGAGUUAAAAAUAGAGGCGUAUUGAUCGGGGACCAUGCCUAGCACCAGUUAUCAGAGCUUUAUUGGCAAAAGGACCAAACUGAGUCAGCCCCUCAGGGUGAAGGACCGAGGCUGAGAGACCUGAUAAGGGUGCCACAGCCCGAGAGGACCCCGUGGAUGGCACAGAGGGGUACAGGACACAGGACAACUUCCACCUUUCUUCCUAGACUGAAGGAAUGGUGCCCUCAAAUCCAGAAGGUGCCUGGGAGCCAGGCUGUGGUGGGCUCAGAGGCCAGAACGUCCUCUGCAUAUCCCCCACGUGCGGCCCUGCGGAUGGACAUAGGCCUGAACCUUUCUCCUCUUUGGGGUUCUGGGCAGAAGGAGGAAGAAUACAAGGGGUCCUCUGGGGGGGGCACAUCCAGGUGGCACUGGGGACCCCGAGGGGACAGCAGAGGCUCAGAAACCUCUGUUGCCCCAGCCGUCGCCCAGUCCUGUCCCUUUCUGCAGGUGUUUCCCUCGCACGGCGCUCCUAUGUCCCCUGUCCCUCUUCUCUCUCCGUCCUCCCACUUGAUCUCCUUUCCCUCUUUCUUCCUCUCUUCCUUCUCUCUCUCUCCCUCCCUUUGUGUUUUUCCCACACCCCUGUCUCUGUCCCACUGCCCCCUGCUUCCUGUCACCCCUCCCGUUCUCCUGGCCACUGCCUCAGUCCCUGUCACCUUCCUGUUGUUAGUCUCUUGCUCUUUCUGUGUCCCACAGACCUCCAGGACCCUGCUCUCCCUCCUGUCCCCACGCCCCUCUCUCCACAGGCACAGGGAUGGCCAGAGAGCUUCCUGGACAGUGGCUGCCUCGGGCUCAAAAGCUUUCCUGUGCCUGGAAUUUGCUCCGUUUCAUUUCGGGUGCACGAGGCUGUCCCGGGAAGCACAGGGAGGAGAUGCUUUCUGAGCCAGGACUCAACUUUGAAUUCUAAAACCUUACAACUGGAAGAGACCCUGAAGAUCUGUCCCACCAGCCAGCACCUGUAUCAAGUGUCCUGCCGUGCCGACCCCACCCCAGCCCUGAACACUGCCCGUGCUGAUGUCGGAACACCACCCUGGGACUCCUGGGCACUACCCUUUGUACAUACGCGUCUCUGGACCACUACCUGUGGGACAGCGCUUUCACCUGGUCUGUUCUCAGUGCCGUACAGAGUAGGCACAGGAUAA